UGAGAGAAGCUUGCUUCUCUUGAGAGCGGCGGACGGGUGAGUAAUGCCUAGGAAUCUGCCUGGUAGUGGGGGAUAACGUUCGGAAACGGACGCUAAUACCGCAUACGUCCUACGGGAGAAAGCAGGGGACCUUCGGGCCUUGCGCUAUCAGAUGAGCCUAGGUCGGAUUAGCUAGUUGGUGAGGUAAUGGCUCACCAAGGCGACGAUCCGUAACUGGUCUGAGAGGAUGAUCAGUCACACUGGAACUGAGACACGGUCCAGACUCCUACGGGAGGCAGCAGUGGGGAAUAUUGGACAAUGGGCGAAAGCCUGAUCCAGCCAUGCCGCGUGUGUGAAGAAGGUCUUCGGAUUGUAAAGCACUUUAAGUUGGGAGGAAGGGCAGUAAAUUAAUACUUUGCUGUUUUGACGUUACCGACAGAAUAAGCACCGGCUAACUCUGUGCCAGCAGCCGCGGUAAUACAGAGGGUGCAAGCGUUAAUCGGAAUUACUGGGCGUAAAGCGCGCGUAGGUGGUUUGUUAAGUUGGAUGUGAAAUCCCCGGGCUCAACCUGGGAACUGCAUUCAAAACUGACUGACUAGAGUAUGGUAGAGGGUGGUGGAAUUUCCUGUGUAGCGGUGAAAUGCGUAGAUAUAGGAAGGAACACCAGUGGCGAAGGCGACCACCUGGACUAAUACUGACACUGAGGUGCGAAAGCGUGGGGAGCAAACAGGAUUAGAUACCCUGGUAGUCCACGCCGUAAACGAUGUCAACUAGCCGUUGGAAGCCUUGAGCUUUUAGUGGCGCAGCU
rnacentral:rRNA from 1 species